rfam:Schistosoma rodhaini strain Burundi genome assembly, scaffold: SROB_scaffold0001143
AUUCAGCUGACCAGUCCCAAAUAGGACGAAAACGCGCGUCCUGUAU